rnacentral:rRNA from 1 species
UACGAAGGGGGCUAGCGUUGCUCGGAAUUACUGGGCGUAAAGGGAGCGUAGGCGGAUAGUUCAGUCAGAGGUGAGAGCCCAGGGCUCAACCUUGGAAUUGCCUUUGAUACUGGCUGUCUUGAGUAUGGGAGAGGUUAGCGGAACUCCGAGUGUAGAGGUGAAAUUCGUAGAUAUUCGGAAGAACACCAGUGGCGAAGGCGGCUAACUGGCCCAUUACUGACGCUGAGGCUCGAAAGCGUGGGGAGCAAACAGG